rnacentral:rRNA from 1 species
ACGGAGGGUGCAAGCGUUAAUCGGAAUUACUGGGCGUAAAGCGUGCGCAGGCGGUUUGUUAAGUCUGUUGUGAAAUCCCCGAGCUCAACUUGGGAAUUGCAAUGGAUACUGGCAGGCUGGAGUACGGUAGAGGAAGGUGGAAUUCCCGGUGUAGCAGUGAAAUGCGUAGAUAUCGGAAGGAACAUCAGUGGCGAAAGCGGCUUCCUGGACCAGUACCGACGUUCAGGCACGAAAGCGUGGGGAGCAAACAGGA